UCCUUUAAAGGUUUAUUUCUGGCAAAUAAAAAAAAUAACUUAUGUGGUUAGAUAAAUUAAUGUAUGUGAUGAGACAGGACACAGGGCAGAGCUGAACGUUCCUGUUUUCUUCUGGAUCUUGAAGGCUGCUGAGAGGCAGCUGAAUGAGACCCAGCCUCGUGUUUUGUGGGAUGAAGAGAUGCAGACAGAGUGACUCAGGUACACUGAUGCUCCCGGGAGGGCUGGGAGGUGGGCUCAGAGGAAGAGGCCGAAUCCAAACCUUUUUUAUUGAGAAGAAAUAGUUCUUCUUUGUAGCUUAAAAAGAAAAAACCGAAGCUCUGCACACAGUCAUCUGUAAUGACCAUAAACAUAACAUACCAAGCACAGGCUCAGAAAGAUGGAGCAACAGACUGAGGACAUUUUCAACGUGGUACUUGGGGAUACCUUUGGGAGAGAUGCCUUCCCCAGCAGAGGCCAGCACUGUGGAGAGAGAGGACCAGAGCCACUACUAGCACAGUUGUCAAGGUCUUUUGCUUUCUGAACUCUGGGGACCACUGCCUUUUAGCCUGAGGUGAACGUCUCCAAAUUUCUUGGGUUUGGUAAGUCUCAGAAGCAGCCAGCCCCUCGGUCGACGGAGGGUACCUUUCCUCCAGGAAUCUGAGAAUGGAACAUGCAGAUAGUCUGUGCUGGGGUCUUAAGGCCAGAAUCCCAGAAGCCUUUCCGGAGCCCAGAACCUGAAAGCUGGGAGAGAAGAUUCUGGGGACUACCUGCCAGGGAGGAAACCAAGGCUCCUCAGGGAGCAGCCUGCGAGCUCCCCAGGAGCAGAGCCCAUGGCUUGCUCACCACUUCUGACCUGUGUCUGGUUGCUUCAUGAGGUGUUGCUGGCCUUGGCAUCACUUUGGAGGUGGGGUCUACUCUCAGGCUAUGGUGAAUUUUGGUUAUAAUUUUUGAUGAAUUAGGAACAGGCUUUAGUUGCCUGUGAAUGUACUGACUAAGACAGCCGGAAAGCAAGCAGGUGAGACCCAGGAGAAGCUCAAAGGGUUUUCCCUGAUAAAAGCGUGUGCCAUGAGGCUACAGGCAGCUCACUUCUUAAGGCCCAUGCACAGAUUGCAGGCUGGGCAGCUGCCUCUGCAGCCGACCUGGAGGGACUGCGAUGACCCACUGCAGGGCCAACCAGGUUGAGGAACCUGCCUGCACAGACGGCCAGGGCCACAGCUGGCUGGACACCGGCAAAAUUUAAACAACGGCUGUUCAUUUCACCAAACACGACCUUAGCUUCCCUAUCUAAAGACUUCUGAAAGGCAGAACAAAGUAAAGUCCAAAUUUUCAAGUCACUGGGCAGUUCUGAAAUCCACUUCAGUUCCCCUUUUGGCCAUCAGGAACAGCAAUUUCUGGCACAAAAAAAUCAGCCCAAGGAUUCAAAAAGCCCUCAAGGAGCAGAGGGGCGUGAGAAGAAACACAUCCACACACCUACUCCCUCUUCACAGAGACACAUUUCUAUGCUCCAGACCUGGGACCAUUUUUAUUCCGACACCACUCCCUUACUAGAUGCUCUGGAAGUUCACACUCCCAAAUGAACUCAUGCCCGUGUUAUUGAUUUUCCUUUGAAGAACCAGAAGGCCCCCUCAGUGCCAUCUGAGGACACUGCGGUAAUGCUUAUUAAAUAACACCCAGACAAGGCAUGGCCCUUCAACCAUCUUAUGAACUGAGAAACCACCACGCCGGCCACGAGGCCAUUCACAUACACAUAAGCAGGGUGGAUGAGGAAAGGACAGAUGAGAAACUGGGACCACACCAGAUGAUAACUGAGAACCAAACUCCCCAGAGCUCCCAGCACUGGACGACUCCAGAAAGGUAAGUAUUUAUACAGCUCCUACAAAAAUAAACUUUCUUCGACGCCUGUUCUUUAGAGGUGUAAAGGACAGGCCUUUGCAUUUGGUUUGUCUCUGGAGGUUUUUCUGGCAUCAAAUGCAGUAAAGGUUUUAAACGACUCUGAGGCAGGGUGGGAGAACUCACCGCCUGCCCCUGCCUCGGUCCGGGGGUUCCAGGAUGUGACGGGGGACAGGCGGAAGAGGGCAGCUGCCCUGGGCAUAGCAUAGAAGAGCAGAGGGUGGGGUGGGCUGGGCCACAGAGGGGCUCCCCAGAGCCCUGUUACAGGAGGCCAUUAACACAUGGUGACUCUGAGCAUUGGGGUCUGACUUCUGAGGGUCUCUGGAAGCACGUGUGCCCCUCCUCUCAGUGUCCAGCCAGGGCAGGCAUAAGGUGUUGGAUCAGCUCCACUUAAAGAGGGUGAGCCAAGGGUGUGCCAGCUUUUCCCCAAGAGGCUAGGGCUCUAGCAGCUCCCCUCCUCUUCAGAACUGGUACCCACUCACUGUCAGUGUCCUACACACUCUCUCUC
ensembl:lncRNA